UUUUAGUUUCUGGGGUCCCCGAGCUUCGGGAAGGUGAAGCGAGCGACAGUGACCCCCCUCGCCUCUCAGCCUACCCGUGACGUCGCCUCCACAGCUUGCGGAGAAGCGGAGACCGCGGUCGCCGCUGGGCUCCACAGCGGAACGACGCGCACUCGGAGCCGGCGCGGCUCAGCGGGUUUUGGCUUUUUGCACUGAAUGUAACCUAGACUGCUCGUCUCAGUUUCCCCAGGAUACUGUCAGAGGCAGUGUUUGUGUGUAUCUGCAGAGUUUUGCACAGAGUCUGUUCCCAUGCAAACCAAUGAGGGAGAAGUAGAGGAAGAAAGCAGCUCCCAGGUGGAACAGGAGGAUUUUGUAAUGGAAGGGCAUGGCAAGACUCCACCUCCUGGAGAAGAAAGCAAACA